rnacentral:lncRNA from 1 species
CUCACACGGAUGUUGUGAAGAUUAAUGUGCUCCUGUUUGCAAAUCUUGAAGAUGAAAGAAUACCUGUGUGGGCAAAAAGAAGAUCAUGAAAACGAUGCCUAUGAGCGCAGAAGUUGGUGACUUUGAUGCUUCUGUCCUUACAAAAAGAGAAAACUUCUACAAACAGACACAAACCCAAGGCUGGAGGAUUGCUUGAGAUCAGGAGUUCGAGACCAUCAUGGGAAACACUGCAAGACCCUGUUUCUACAAUUUUUUUUUAAUCAGCCAGGCAUGGUCGCACAUGCCUCUAGUCCCAGCAACUUGAGAGGCUGAGGUGGGAGGAUCGCUUGAGCCCAGGAGGUCAAGGCUACAGUGAGCUAUGAUUGCACCACUGCACUCCAGCCUGGGCGACAGACAGAGAUCUUGUCUCUAAAAGAAAAAAAAAAAAAUGCCCCAGAGUCAAAAAUAAAUUAACCCUAUAAACCUAAGAAAACCUUACAUGCUUGUAUAGUUUAUUGUCUUACACUGUGUCUCUAAAUUUUUCAUAGGCUUUA